GGAAAUAAAAAAGGUCUCGUAGAUUAACUUACUGUAAUCAUGCAUAAAAGAAUUUCAAGUGCUGUGGCUUUUGAGGAUUCUCUCUUGUUUGAGAUAAUAAAAUUAGUUGCAAUAAUUAAGAACAGGAUUUAAUUAUAUCUUUGCAAAAGCUUUAUGUACAUGAAUAGAAAUUAUCCAGUAAAUUUUCCCCGCAAAAUAUGUAUAGAUUUGAUGAAAACUUUAAUAACAUUUUACCAGAAAUGUGAAUUAGAAGAGUGGCCAUUUAUCUGUUGUUUGUAAGUAACAGGUAAUAGUUACUUGAUCAAAUAUCUAGUUGUAUAGGCAUGGAAGAUAUUUGGGAUAAUUCACACAAGUGUCAGUUGAGAAGUUACAACUAAAAGAUUUCAUUCUACUAGAUAAAAUACUGCAUCAAGGAAGAGAAAGACUUUUAAGUGGAUCUUAUAAGCAAGAAUUGCUUAUUAAUGGACCUCUGUAGAAGUAACAGGAACUGUGAGUUCUUAUCCUCUUCAUGAUGCAAUGUCUUUUUGCUCUUAACAAUAGUUUGAUCAUCUCUCUGACUAUCUUCAGCAGUUAAGUGAAAAGUUACUCCAGUGUAACUCAGAAUCAUAAGAUUGUUUCAGGUGGAACAUGAAAAUGCAUUAACAGAUAAGUCGGAUACUAUAUAAAUUCAAAGAAAUUCAGUUUUAUUUCAUUUACUGAUUAGUCGAAGAUGUAUACACACACAUGAAUAAGGAAUUUUAUGGUUAAGAGAGUACAAUGUAUUGAAUUAAGUACAGUAUUUAUAUUUUACUUGUCUCUUCACUUGAAAUAAACACCAGCUAAAACCUAGUUCACAAAUAACUGCAAAACAACUAUGCUCAGAUUAGAUGAUAAAUGACCUGGACUGUGUUCUGUAUGAGCUGCAAGUUUUGAGAGAAGUCCACUAAUAUCUUAUUUGAAAAUUCAUCGUUUUGUUUAAUUUUUACCUUUUAAUCAAAGUCUCAGGAACUAUCUUCAAAUAAUUUGAUAAAGUGAGCAAAAAAUGGCUGGAAUUACUAGCAAUUAGCCAAGCUUUUGUACUAGAAUUUCACAGUGGAUUCAGUUUUUAUAUAUUUGGCACUGCUUUUUUAUUGUUAGGCUUUAGAUUUCUAAAUAGCACAGUGGCCCAACUUUUAGUAUGAUCACUGAAGAACAACAUGAAAUUUCACUUCAUUACACUAAUUUUUAAAAUUUUCAGUAGAGUAUAAAUAAACUUACAUUAAUGUACAACUAUUCUACUAAAACCCAUAACUAAACCUGUUCUUGUAACACAUGUGCAUAAAAACUGAACUCAAAGUAAUUAGUAAUUACUGCCAUUUGUUCACUAGAAUGAAAGAAA